GUAAAUAUCAUUGAUUUUAGAACCGACUAUUCUUAUUUAGUGUUGGAGUCUUUAUACGUCUACAGGAUUAUUAAGAAGAGAUUUUCUCGCAAAUAAUUUGUGUAAACAUUUUUAUUUUGAACCAGGAAGUAUAUUUGAUCGAAAAGGAAGUUGUUAAAUACUGCGUCAAGUUUUCUCAACUUUUCAAAGUUUGGAGUCAUGAAGUAACAGUUCCUAAACAGAGAAAAUUAGAAGAAUCCGUCAAGCUGAACAAGAUGAAUCGUGCGCCAAGAAAACAGCUCCCUCUACCGGACUCCGACGCCCCAAAGUCAGGAAGACGAGUCCCGCCUCCACCCUCAGUUGAUAAUGGACCUGCCCCACCUCUCCCCCCAGGGAGGCGAGCACCACCCCCAAUACCUCCUCCAGAACCAGAAAAGGUACCUCAAUAUCUUAUUGAAGUUUUAUUUGCA